CUCCUCAUCUUCUCUUCAGACUACAAAUGUAAUGGUUGGAGCUCCAGCAGCUAUCUUCUUCCCUGAGGUGGCCUUAAGAAUGGAAGUCCUCACAUUAGGGUGACAAGAGAAAAGGAGUCUGGGUCCCUGAUCCGUGGGACACUAACUCCCUAUCCCAGCUGCCUACCUCAAAUGUAUUUCAAGUGAUUGCCUUGGUUUCCGAUUGUUGCUCGGACAAAUCACUCCAAAGUUACUAGCUUAAAAUUACACUUUUUUUUUUUUUAACCAUGGUAUUCUAUAGACCAGAGUCUGACAGGGGUCUUAAUGGGCAAGAUCUAGGUGUCAGCAGGAUGUAUGGUAGUUGUGCCUCCUAGUCUUUUCCAGAUUCUAGAAGCUCCCCACACUCCUUGGAUCAUGGCCUCUCAUUCUGUCUUCAAAGCAGCAAUAUCAGGCGUAUCCUUCUCAUACUGCCAUCACUUUGGUUCUCUCUUACGAUUUCCUCUUCCACUAUAAAGUAUUUUGGGGAUAGCAUAGGACCUACCUGAAUAAUCCAGGAUGAUUAAGGUCAGUUUAUUAGCGACUUUGAUUUCAACUGCCUCCUCAAUUCCCCUUUGCCACAUAACCUAAGAUAUUCACAGGUUCCAGAGAUCGGGACAUAGACACACAGUGGAAGAGAAAUAAAUUUCUAUCUUAUACAAACCACUGAUUUUCAAGUCUUUGUUGCCCACAGCUGAGCCUAACGUAUUCCUGUGACAGACACUUGUUGAAAACCCACUGCCAUGCCAUGGUGGUGCUGGCUGGGGUCUGAUAAUACUGGAUGAUCUAAUAUUUCUGGUCCUCCAGAGGCCGUGAGACUCAUCUUACAACAUCACAUGGCCCCAGAAUCAUCCACAAGCCCACAGUAAUGCCACCAGAGAAGAAAGAGGCCAUUCACCAAUGAACUGACCACAGCUCCUGCUCCCCAGCCUCUCAGGUUUGCCUCAGCACAGAGAAGGAUCAGGGUCAGGAAGAGACUUGCCCAGGUGUCCAUAGAAGUUCAUGGCAUUGCCAAGACUAGAACCCAAGUCUCUGAAUACCACUCCUCCAUCACAUUAUUUUCCUGGGUUUUUCAAGGAAGGACAUACUGGACAUACUACCCUUGGUCCCUGGCACCCAGUCACAACCUCUGGCACAGGCCGAAGACCGUGUUUACCUCCAUUGCAAUGAUUCCAGUGACAUCAGAGACUUACAGAAUUUGGCUGGCCUUUCUUUAUUCUCUUUCUACCUCUGGGCUAUGCAUAGUGAAAUUCUCUGAUGGUAUUCAUUUUCCUGCCCUUCACACCCUCAUGCUCCAUUUUUCCUAUUUGUUAAGUAAGUUCCUAUGAGUACUUAAUAGGACUUAUGAGGUAACAUGGAUAGCCAAAGAUCAAGUUAAGGGCUCAGGCUUGUGAAGUUAUGUGAUUCAGUGCCAUCUUUGAUUUUGUCCUCCUCUAUCUCUCUGAUUGUCAGCAUUUCCAUCUUGAAAAAAAAAGGGGGGGAGGAGACAGCAAAUGUGCUUCAAAAUACUUGCAAGGAACAGCUCAUAAAACUCAUUGUGAGGCACAUUAGCACCGCACACAGUGUCAUCUAACUGCUUAUAAUGAAAUGUUGAGCAACUAGGAAUCCAGCUCACCCCAUCUGGCUCUGAGUCACACUCCCUAGUAACACUAAGUGAAAGUGAAGAGAACUUGCACCAGGCCAGGAUACAAAGCCGGGAAGUGCCUGACAGCCAACCUCACAUGGAGAUGUGCCUGAGAGCCAGUGGACCUGGAAAACCUUCAUAAAGCCAUUUGCUUAAACCCUUUGCUCUGCUCUUCUUAAAGAUCGAUUUCCCAAGCUCUCUUUGGUAACUGUUUCUGGGUUACACACCCAGAUAGUUGGAAAGACUUCCCUUAUGUAAUUCAAUGUUUUGUUGUUGCUGUUGUUGUUUUAUGGCUGCACCUGCGGCAUAUGGAAGUUCCCAGGCCAGGGAUUGAAUCCAAGCCAAAGCUGCAACCUACACUGCAGCUGCAACAAUACCAGAUUCUUUAACACACUGUGCUGGGCCAGGGAUCAAACCCACACCUCCACAGCAAUCCGAGCCACUGCAGUCAGAUUCUUAACCCACUACACUACAGUGGGACUCCCCCGUAAGAGUUUUCACAUUGUGUUAAAAAUGCUUGAGUCUGAGUGGUUUAGACCUGGAUGAGAUCUUAUAGAUCAUUUCUUCAAAAUAUCUAAAUUCUGCACAUGAGAAGAUUGUGGUUCUAUAUGGUCUUGCUCAAGGUUAUACAAUUAGUGUUGAGACAAAGAACUGUCAACCAGGCCUAUGGAAUUUUGAUAAUGAUGUAUCACUAGAUAAUAUUUAGCUUAUGCUAAUUCCUAAUUUUUACUUUCUUUGCAUAAUACCUCCUGAUAUUUGUAGAGCACUCAUAUUUAUUUUGAGCAAAAGCAGUCAUCCCCCUUCUUGUAUAAUAGUUGUUUACUCUUCUUCUGUCAGAGAACUCAUUUUCCCUCAAUUAAGCAUAAUCCUGCACAUUCAUGCCAACUUCUUUAACUUAAGGGGUCAUAUUGAAUUGCAAUUCUACUCUACUUGGUUUCAUCUUAACUUUAUGGAAGAGCUCCUAUAAGCCAGUCGCUGUCACGUAGCACCUCAUCUGAUCCUCCAGACAACCCUAUCUUAGGGAUAUUAUUAUUCACAUCUUAGAGUGGAAACAAAAUGAGUCAGAAAAAGAUUAAGCAGUAGACCCAAGGCUGUCCAUCUGCUGAGACCCAUGUCUUCUCUUUUGUGCUUAGGACAGCAUGUGACCUCUCACACAAUGGCAGCCAACCCGCAUAAUUUUCUUCUAGCAGUAAGUCAAAGAAUGGUGCUCUUUUUCCAACACACCUACCAUGGAAGUAAAUACUAAGUAGCAUAAUUAGCCAAGGCCAAUAGGUAGAGAAAGUCACAUACUCUUCAAGUUGAAGGUGAAUGAUAACUUCAACAUUCCCCACAACAGAGGUUAGUGAGAAGAAAGUGUAACUUUUCCUUUCAAUAUAUAGUCACAGCUAUGUAAACAAGGAGGAAAAUGAAGACGGUAGAUGGUAGAAGAUGCCUGGAGUCUGAAUGAAGGAGUGGUUGUUUCUGAGGGGGAUCAGGGAAAAUGCCUUGGAGGAAGGCCCCAGGCAUGCGUGAGCGGGAGGACUCAAAGAAGAAGACAUCAGGGCACAGGCAGUUGAGCCAGAUGUUAAGAGAAGGAGACCAAAGUGAGGACAGGUUUGGGAAAAGGCGUGAAAUGAAGAACUCCUGAAAUAACUGGGAGUAAUAAGCUGGGGCGGGGGGAGAUAGAUAAUUCUGGGUUUCCGUGUAUCUGAAGGGUAACCAGUCUAAGGCAGGUGAGACUUGCUCUGUGAAUUGAAAAUUCCAAGUUAUCGGUUAAUUAGGUUAUACACAGUCAGCAGUGGUCUCAGAAAAGCUAAGCCAAGAAGGAGGCACAUGGUUUCUAACCAUUAGACCUGCUCAGUAAUGGCAUGGCUUUCUUUGGAGAGAAAGCCACCCAGGAAACCCAGAGACCCCCCCAGCCCAAGGAGCUGGGUUGUAGAAAGUAUCUCUGCAUUCUGGGGGGGAUGGGCUUAGAUAAACCCCAAAGGCACUUUCGUUUCUGAUUUUCUAAAAUUCCAAAAGCCCCACACAAGAAAGAACAUUUCAGACUGGAGAACAACAUGAGGGAGACUGGAUCUCCUCAGAAGAUGGGCCUUCCCUGUGCAAACAAUGCUCUGUCUCCAAGUGAAAGGAAUACUUUCCAAGGUACCAUCCAGCCUGGGUCUUAAAUUAGACCUAACAAUGCUUUUGCAUCUUAUAUUUUUUUACUG
rnacentral:lncRNA from 1 species